CCUACGGGGGGCAGCAGUAGGGAAUAUUGCUCAAUGGAGGAAACCCUGAAGCAGCAACGCCGCGUGGAGGAUGACGGUUUUCGGGUUGUAAACUCCUUUUGUUAGAGAAGAUAAUGACGGUAUCGAACGAAUAAGCACCGGCUAACUCCGUGCCAGCAGCCGCGGUAAUACGGGGGGUGCAAGCGUUACUCGGAAUCACUGGGUGUAAGGGGCGCGUAGGCGGGAUAGCAAGUCAGAUGUGAAAUCGUAUGGCUUAACCAUAGAAUUGCAUUUGAAACUGUUAUUCUAGAGUAGAGGAGAGGUAGGUGGAAUUCUUGGUGUAGGGGUAAAAUCCGUAGAGAUCAAGAAGAAUACUCAUUGCGAAGGCGACCUGCUAGAACAUAACUGACGCUGAUGCGCGAAAGCGUGGGGAGCAAACAGGAUUAGAUACCCCUGUAGUC
rnacentral:rRNA from 1 species